CAUUUUGGGUCAGCAAAUAUUCGGGUCGGGUCAAUUCGGGCUUCAGGUCAAAUUCGAGUCAGCACUUCGGGUUAAGUUUGGGUCAGGUCAAUUUCGGGUUGGGUCAGUUUGGGUCCAGUCAAUUUUUAGGACCAUUUUUCGAGUCAAUUUCGGGUUGAGUCAAUUCGGGUCAUGUUAAUUCGAGUCAGGUCAAGUUUGGGUUGGGUCACCAAAAUAAAUUCACUUAAAAAAAUUGUUGGAAAAAUAAAGUAAAAUCGCUAAGAAAAUAAAAAAAUUGUGAGUAACUAUUACUUAGGAAAGAAAGAAGCCCUAAAACAAGUAAUUCACCAGUUCACCCUAUUCACUUCAGGAAUUGGGUCGGUCGAUUCGGCUUUAAAUCGGGUCGGGUUACUUCGGAGUUCGGGCCAAUUUCGGGCAUCAGGUCAACUCCAUUUCGAGUCGGGUCAGGUUAGUUCGGGUUCGAGUCAUUUUCGGGUCAAUGGUUUCGGGUCACGGGUCAGGUCAUUUGGGUCGGGUCAAGAUUGCCAGGUUUUUAUACUCCACUACCUAUUAUUUUUAUAAAUUCAACUAACCUUCCUAAAAAUACGUAAAGGUCAAAACGUUUUAUUUGUUUAAAUACGGAGGGAGUAUAAAACUAGGGUGCAUUCAAAUUAAUGUAAAUAUAAGAUUUUUAAUCGAAAGAUUUAAUUUCGAAAAAGACUUUUAAGAUGAAUCAGAAUAAAUAAAAAUAAAAAUAAAAAUAAAAGUUCAUUUUAGAAAAAAGAUAUUAAAAACAAACAAACAAAAAAAAUCCUAAGUUGAAAUAUACUUUUUCUUCACAAAUCAACCUUUUAUCUUUUUCAAUCCUAAUCAUCCAAAUAGUUAGUCAUACUUUUUGACAACCUUAAACACAUUUGGUACACUUAUUUUAUCUUAUAUGGAAAUAAAGUGCAUUGAAUAGACCCUUAACUAUACUAAAUCUAUUUGAAUUUAGGCAUUCAAUUUUGACACUGCUACUAAGUUCCUUCAUGUGCCAUGCAUCAUUAAAUUAUCCACAUAAUUGGGCUAUGUUAUCCUCACCCGAAGGUUAUAAGCUAAUACGUCGUACAAAAAUUCUUGGGUGAAUCUGGUCCACAAUUUAUUGUGGACCUUAUGGUCUCACGUGCAAAUGUUAGAAUCAAAUAGCCCACACGAGUUUACCCCGUCCAAUUCUAACAAAAUCCACCCAGUUUACCUUCAUUUACAAAAAAAAAAAAAAAAAAAAAAAAAAUACAAAAAAAAAAAACAAAAAAAAACCUAACUACACUCUCUCUCCUCUGCGAAAACAUCAUCGACAAAAUCACGAUGCAAAAUUCAUCAAUUGAAAAACGAAAUUCUCAUGCAAUUGAUCUCAACAAAUCAAUUUAUGAAUCAGAAUCACACACAAAUAACAAUGAAGAUCUCGAAUAUGAAGGAAUGAACAACAUGAGGAUGAUAAUUGUAAAGGAGAUGAACAACACGAGGAUAACAAUCAUCUUCAAUUGAGUGAUAUUUGUACUGUAAUUGAUGGUAAUUUCUUCUCCAUUGCAUUUUGUUAGUUCAAUUUGAUUUAGGAAGAUAACCUUCAACAUAUUGUUUUGUGGUUUUGUGACAAGCAGAGAACAUUGAGUUCUCAAAGUCACGUAGGAUUUGGGGAAUCAUAUAGUUGAAAACUUUUUAAAACUAUUCCAGCCUAUUAGCUCAAUUGGUCGAGCAUUGUGUAUUUUCAUUGGCACAGAAGAUGUAGAUUCGAAUCCUACAUAGGCUAACAUAUAGACAUAGAGUGACCCUUUUUAGCAAAUAGUUACCAUUUCACCGUUUUUUUUUUUCCACAUAUUGCGACCUCUAUAUACAUAUACUUACCUUUUUGUACAUAUAGUGACCUCUAUAGACAUAGGCUGACUGCAAGGCUGCUUUGGGCAGCUUGGAGAUGUCGCAACAUGGCUAUUUUCAUAGGUAAACAACCAUGUGCUGUGCUGGUUGCUGCAGGCUUCACAAAGUAUGUUGAAGAGUACUGUAAGUACUCAAAACGUGUUGCUGGUACUGCUAUGGCUAGUUUCCUGCUGCUGCAUCGUGGUCCAUCCCACCUGACCCAAGCAAACGGUGAGCUGGUUGCUGCUGCUAUCAAGGGAAUCCACCUGACCCAAGCAGAGAUUGCAAGAUAUGCUCUACAGCUAGCAAGGAGACUCGGGUAUAGCCAUAUUUGGAUAGAAAGUGAUGUGUAAGAGGGUUGUUCGUGCUAUUAAGUCCGGAAGCAAUGGAGUCACGCCUUUUCACCUAGUUAUUGAAGAUAUAAAGAAUGAUAGCUUAACUUCGAUGAUUGCGUUUUUUCUCAUGUUAGACGGGUCUGUAACACUAUGUCUCAUACGAUUACUUGUUGAGAUACUAGUAGUAACGUUGAAAGAGUCUAUAUUGGUAUAUUUUUAUUGACACAGAAGAUGUAGGUUCAAGUCCUACAUAGGCUAAUAAGAUUUUGACAUUUAGUGACCCUUUUUAACAAAUAGGUUACUUUUUCACAGAUUUUUUUCCCCGCAUGUUAUUACCUUUAUAUGACUAUAGUGACUUUUUGUUUUUUACAUGUAGUAACCCUUAUUUGAAUAUAGUGAUCUUUUUUUGUUUUACAUGUAGUAAUCCCUAUUUGAAUAUAGUGACUUUUUUUUUUUUUUUUUUUUUUUUUUUUUUUUAUUUUUUAUUAACAUGUAGUAACCCCUAUUUGAAUGUAGUGACCUUUUUUUACAUGUAAUAACCCCUAUUUGAAUUUGGUGACCUUUUGUAGUUAUACUAUUUUCACGCAUUGUGACUCCUAUUUAAAUAUAAUCAAAGCAUAUUUAUACAUAUAAUGACUUUUAUUUAAAUAUGGUCAUAGCUACCCUAUUUUUACAUAUAGUGAAUCUUUUUUAAACAUAAUAACCCAUAUUUACACAUGUAGUGACCCCAAUUUAUACAUAGUCACUAUUGUUAUGAUUACCUUUUUUUAUUUUUUAUUUUUUAUUUUUUUGCAUAUAGUGAUCUUUAUUUAAAUGAAGUCACCCUCUAAAGAUAAUCAACUUUUCAUAGCCUAUGUAGGAUUCGAACCUAUAUCAAUGUGCACUUGUACAAUGCUCUACCAAUAGAGCUAACAGACUUUAAACAAAACUCAUACAAGCAUAAACAUUAAAGUAAAAACUACAACUAAUCAAACUAAUUAAGUAGAAAUUUAACGGAGUAAGCCAACCCAACAAACACUAUUGCCACUUAUCAUGCCCAUAAAGCUUUUUUUUAGGGGAAAACAUGGAAGCAAUAUUAUUAUAUCAACUAGAGUCCAAAUCCACGAAAGCUAGAACGCCUUGGGGAAAGAGUUUACAAAGGAUUGUUCUACACCAUUAGCAGGAACUAAUCUAGCAGACAAGUGGAUAACACAUUGCCAUUUUGUCUAACAUGAUUAAUAGAAAAAUACUCACAUUACUGUCAUUACAAGUUAGGCCACCAACGACACCAAGUAAACUUUCUGGCAGCUUUACCAAAACAGCUUUCCCUUCCAAAGAACCUUGGUACCAGUUGCAAUUAUUAUGCCAGAACUCCACAUUCAUGUUGUUGAGCUCAUGAGCUGAGAAGUAUCGGAUAGUGUCAUCUUUACCAUGAUUGAAACAAGGGCAUGCUUUGUUUAAGUACAACAGAGGGUCCUACUCAUCCCACAAUUGAAAUCUACUACUAUAGUGAUGUACAAAAAUCCAUUUCAACUCGAUUACUUCCAAAAAUCAUUAUACAACCCAAAUCACCCAAAUAACUCAUCAUCUGACUGCGAUCCAACCCAAAUCUGACCAAGACAUAGUGCCACCUCCAGUGCUAAAUUUGCAACUCUACAACAACAUAUGGACGAUUUCAACCAGAUAUUUUUUAUUCACUAGUAAAAUGCUCAAGAUCACAACAAUACUGUUUAUCAAAUGCUACUGUACAUAAAUAUAAUAACACAACCAUCCACCAAACGUCAGCAACAAUUACUCUUAUUCAACCAACUAAAAGGUCUAUUAUGAUAUAAAGAGAAUAGAACAUACUUCGUUUUAUACAAUAGUGACCUAUAUAAUGCUACAUCAACCAAAUAUGAGAUCAACGAUCACCAAACUACACUCUCCAAAUUUGCAAAUACAAAUCAGAACCAUAAAUAAAUUAAUUAAAUACCUAAUUGUAGCUAAGAAAUAAAAAUUUAAGCUGUCUGAAAUUGGUUGCCUCCUCCACAUGCACGUGAGAGGUAGCUGGUCCACAAUAAGUUUAGAUAAGAUAAGGGUUGAUAAGUUUAGAUAAGAUAAGGAAUAAUAAGUUCUAUGAGAUUAUAUAAUACCUUUUAUAAAGUCUAAUAAGAUAAGGUAAGGGUUGAUUAACUUAGAUAAGGUAAGGGUUGAUUAGCUCAGAUUAGAUAAGGACUAAUAAUUUCAAAUAAGAUAAGUGCAACUAAGGUAGAGAAAAAUACUAUUUUAUAUGAUUCCUAAACAAAAUCAUUUUUAAUCUUCAUGUAUAGUCUUUUGAUGAAGCUUCUACUUUGGACCUUCAUACUUCUUUAGUUCUCUUUUAUGGUGCUCCUCCAUGGAACUGAAAGCUGAGUUCCCAUGCUGUUUGCUAUAUCAAGGCUUCUUCAAGUCUUUUAUGAUCCAAUCCUUCUCUUAGCCGUGCUUUGGGCCUAUAGUUAAGGAGUGCUGUACCACAUCGAAAAGAAGCGACGAGGGCAAGACAACUUCAGGAAAUAAAAUGCAAGAGAUUAGACUAUACAAAUCAUACCUUUCUCGGCCUUUUGGCUAAGAUCAAGUGUAGUAUCUGUUCUUAUCAGUUUAAUAUCUGAUAUGUGGGUCAAUGACCCACAACGAUAUUAAAUUUAUUUUUUAAGGGGGAAGAUCCACCACAGUGGCUUGCUACUGGGAUCUUCAAGCGUCGCCCAUGCGUUGCACUACUGCACGGGCCUGGCACACCCCACCAA